GAUGAACGCUGGCGGCGUGCCUAAUACAUGCAAGUCGAGCGAACGGACGAGAAGCUUGCUUUUCUGAUGUUAGCGGCGGACGGGUGAGUAACACGUGGAUAACCUACCUAUAAGACUGGGAUAACUUCGGGAAACCGGAGCUAAUACCGGAUAAUAUUUUGAACCGCAUGGUUCAAAAGUGAAAGACGGUCUUGCUGUCACUUAUAGAUGGAUCCGCGCUGCAUUAGCUAGUUGGUAAGGUAACGGCUUACCAAGGCAACGAUGCAUAGCCGACCUGAGAGGGUGAUCAGCCACACUGGAACUGAGACACGGUCCAGACUCCUACGGGAGGCAGCAGUAGGGAAUCUUCCGCAAUGGGCGAAAGCCUGACGGAGCAACGCCGCGUGAGUGAUGAAGGUCUUCGGAUCGUAAAACUCUGUUAUUAGGGAAGAACAUAUGUGUAAGUAACUGUGCACAUCUUGACGGUACCUAAUCAGAAAGCCACGGCUAACUACGUG
rnacentral:rRNA from 1 species